GGAUCCUAAGUAUUUAUAUUUCUCAUGUUCUUGUGUAUUUUUUUACUGAUUCACUAUUGGAUUAACAAGAAUUAUCUUACUUUAAAUUUCUUGCUUUAAAAAAAAAAAAGAAUUAUCUUACUUCAUGUAUGGUAUGCCAACUGUUCGAUAAAGGUCCUUUUAGAAAUCUUCUAUUGAUUACCUUGCGAAGACCACAAAACUAGACACACCCAAAAGCAUUCUUGCAUAGUUUAUACAUAGAGAUGGCCGAUUGAUGAUCGUCUUAUUUGUAGACUUAACGCGAGCAGACUCGAUCGCUUAGUCCUUAUUGAUUUACGACACACAUGCUCACACACACACAUACACACAUCACAAAAUCACACAAAUUGACGGAUAAUGUUGCCGUUCAGCUCCUUCCUGAACCUCACCGCGGCAUUUUUCUGCACCAUAGUGGCCGUGAAAUACCACGAGACGAUGUCAUGGACGGCGACGUGUUGUCCGGUGGCGGCGGAUAGCCCGACCUGAACCUGCUGAGGAACAAAGUCGCUCAAAUCGUACUCAUAGUUGACAUCAAAUGUCUGCGAGCCGGCGGUGACUUUCACGGAGAUCAUCCUUGUGGCUCCGACGUAGUUGAUCCGCGCAGUCACCUGCUGCCCGAGUAUGGAGUUGUCGACCUUCGUCGUGUUGCUGGAUGCCCUAGAGCCGAAGUCGAUGCCGAUGUGGGGAUAGAGCGGAUCCCACGCGCCGUUGACGUAGGUGUCGAUUUCGACGGCGAAGACCGAGGGGCUGUUGCCGUUGGAGCCAAAGAUUCCGAGGUUGGCUCCGUUGGAGCCAGGGGGGAUGGUGGAACCGACGGGGGCAAUGAAGAAGGCGAGGCCGUCGGCAGGCUCGUUGUCGGCGCCCGGGGUGAUGAUGAAGUUCACAGUGGUUUCGAAGUCGACCUGCCCACCGGACUGCGAGAAUUGGACCGGGUUCGAGUGCAAGACGCGGCCGACUUGUGAGGGCUGUGCGUCUGUGAGGCGGAGGAAGGUGGAGUCCGUCGGGAAAUGGGCGCUGCCUUGAUAGAUGAGAUCUUUCGGCUGGUCGCCCCAGAAGUCGUAGGUGAAGGACGUCGUUUGGGACAACGCCGUGUUGGAAACGGCGAGGAGGAGGGCGAUGGAGGCGAGGAGAGGAGUUAAGGUUUGAACAAGCUGGUUGGCCAUGGCUUAAUUGAUUUAGAUUUAGAUUUAGAGAUGUGGUGGAUGAUGGUGGCCAGGUAUCGAUCUCUUGCACCUAUUUAUACUAGUAUGGUUCAUGCCUGUUAAUAAUUGUAUAUAUCAAUCAAUCAUCGUGCAUCUAUCCCAAAUUAUAUGUCUUAUUAUUCACUAAUUAGAUGGAAUAAAUCCUAAUUAGCAAUCUUAAAAUUACACCGCCAAUGAGGCCUUGCUCUAGUGGUAAAGCUGUGGCACCGAAUAACUUUUCUUUGUGAAAGGUCUUGGGUUCAAUCUCGCCUGCAUGCGGUGAUGUUUGUCCAUUUUAGAUGGUGUGGUAUUCUUGCCUGCGUGCGGUGUUGUAUUAUUUAGUCUUAGGCGUUCUUGCCUGUGUGCAUAUCACUGUGUGACAAUUAAAAGAAUGACUUUAAAAUAAAAGUUAAGCCUUAAAAAUUUAAUCUACAUUCAUAUAUAACUGAAAUUACAUGCAUGUCUAAUUUUUUUAAUAUCAUAACAAGAUAAGAUUUAUUAAAUAAUUCAGAUGCAUAAAUAAAAAGUUAAUCUAUAAACACAGUAUAGAUAUAUUAUCAAUGAUAGGCCGUGUAUAAGUCUUAAUCUGUAAAACUAUAUCAUCCCAGCCUUAAACGACUACCAUUCCUGCUUUCCCAGAGCAACCACACUGUUCCCACCCACAAAGCUUUAAGCAGUACAUGCAUGUCUAAAUAUUAUUUAUAAUUAUCAAUAACAAGAUUAAUGAUUCUAUAUCUCUAUGUUUAUACAUAUAUUCACGUAUGACAUAGUAUAUAUUAGCUAUUAAGUUAAAAACUAAUAAAAUACUACAGUUUUGCAUAGGAUAUAUAUUUAAUUAGUAGUAGGAUAGGACACGUGUAUUAAUUUUAAGGGCAAGUAAUCAAACUUUUGAAUGAUUCAUCAUGCUUAAAAAAAAAAAGAGACCUAGAUAGAUGAUUCAUCAGAUUCAAAAACAAGUAUAAAUAGACUUCGAGUUUGAAAUUUUAAUUAAUUUGCAACAACAAUUCAAACUGACUGUAUUAAGGUAAGUAGUUACAGAUUUCAUACACAUUAUAUGAUUUCGCGCACAUACGUAUGUAUAUAUAAAUAUUUUUUAAAAUCAUAUACUCCCUCCGUCCCCAAAAUAAGUUCCUCUUUGGGGACGGCACGGAUUUUAAGGAAAAGUGGUAAAGUGUAUUAAUAGUGGAGAAAAAUAUGUUAUAAUUAGUAUUGGAAGUUGUGAAAAGGUGAAAAAGUGUUAUAAUUAGUAUUGGGAGUGGUGAAAAAGUGAAAAGUAAGAAUAAAUAAAGUAUUAUUAGUGGUGGGGUAGUUGUCCAAAAAUGGAAAAAAAGAAAGAGGAACUUAUUUGGGGGACAUCCCAAAAUGGAAAAAGAGGAACUUAUUUCAGGGACGGAGGGAGUAUUAUAUAAUAAUUAUAUUUAAGUUUUAUAUUAUUCUUUAUAAACUAUUGUUCCAUUCUAUAUAAUUAGGUGUGGCACGACUAGGACGUAACUUUCGAUUGAAUUUCUCAAGUUAAUUUUCAAGUUCAAGUUUCAGGUGUGAGAUUUAUUUAAAUACAUGUCAUGAUUAUUCAUUGUCCAUUUUAAUAGUAUGUGUUUACCAUAUGUGUUAUGACGCAUAUUUUGAGGACAUCGCUAGGAGCCCAUAAAUAGGGUCCAGGACUUCACCGUCCUUGGAUUGCCACAAUGCGAUUUGAGGUUUAUUUUGAGGAUGUCGUCAGGGGCCCGUAAAUAGGGUCCAGGACUUUAAUAGUCAUUGGGUUGCCACAGUGCGAAUAUUGAAGAUAUAUAUGAAGUGACCGUAUGUGUUACCGUUUCAUUAACGUGGACAAUGAUUGCAUGUUUAAGAGACAAUAACCAAUUUUUCAGACAUUUGUGAACAAAAUGAAGCAUGUUUAGAGAUCCUUAAUAAAGGUGUACGAAAUGAUGGAUAAAUAAGUUUGUGAAACAAAUUUCACCAUACCUAACCCCACAAUUAUUUGCGGUCGAAUUUCCUCGUCACAGGAAAAAGAGAUGAUGACAAAAGGGCAAAAAUUAAUUAACAAAGUAGAAGAUGCAUGACAACUGUAAAAGAAAAAUAAUGCUACUAAUUAAAUAGUCCAAACUUCAUACGUUUCAUAUCAUAAGUGGCAGUUCUAUUUUUUUUUUGCGAAAGUGAACAAAAUAACGAAUAAUUUUUAAAGUAAUAGUAAUAAGGAGAUGUGUUUUGACAGAAAACGACAUGAGCGGCCUAAAAAUAAGAGGGAAAAAGAUAAUCAUAUAAAUAUGGGUUAAUUGCCUCUAAAUACACCACCUUUCCUUGAAUUCUACAAUUGCACAUCACCUUUAAAAUCCGCCCUUAAAUACACCACCUUUCCUUGAGUUCUACAAUUGCACAUCACCUUUAAAUCCGCCCCAAAAUACAUCAUCUUUAUAUUUUUUCUGUUUUUGCACAUGACUAAAAAAUUCUCAAGAAAUAAAUUAAAGUGUUAAUUUAUAAAUUUAAAUAUCUUUUUAGCAGCGAAAACAUAAUAAAAUAAAAUUCUUUAUAAAGUUUAAAAUCAUAUAUAUAUAUAUAUAUAUAUAAGUAUUUUCGUAAAGAAAUAAAUUCUCUAAUAAAUUUUUAGAAAGAACUUGAAUUAAAAAAAUAAACAAGUCAUGACAUUAAGAAAAUAAAAUGAAAUUUUUAUUUUAAUAAAUUUCACACGAAUUCGAUAUAAUUUGGAAUUUAGAGUUACAAUAAUCAGAAGUACCACAUGAAUAAUAUAAUGAGUUUGAAAGAAAUUUUUUUUAAAGAGGUUCGACACGCCCAUUCGACUUUCCACGCGCCUCCAAUGUCAUUUACCUGAAAUAUUAANUAUAUAAGUAUUUUUCGUAAAGAAAUAAAUUCUCUAAUAAAUUUUUAGAAAGAACUUGAUUAAAAAAUAAACAAGACAUGACAUUAAGAAAAUAAAAUGAAACUUUUAUUUUAAUAAAUUUCACACGAAUUCGAUAUAAUUUGGAAUUUAGAGUUACAAUAAUAAAAAGAACCACAUAAAUAAUAUAAUCAGUUUGAAAGAAAUAUAUAUAUAUUUUUUUAAAGAGGUUCGACGCGCCCAUUCGACUCUCCACGCGCUACCAAUGUCAUUACCUGAAAUACUAAAUAUGGGAUAAGCAUACAUAAUAUACUUAGUGUGGGAACAUGCAAUUAUUGUCCACGUUAAUAAAAUAGUAACACAUACGAUCAUAACAUUCAAAACGACACAAUUUUGCCAAUAUGGAAGCCACGUCAUUUAAAGUGGUAACACCCUAAUCUAACUAAAGUGUUAAAUAUAAAUUUAAAGCGGAAAUAUAAUAAAAUAAAGUUCUUUAUAAAAAUAAAUAAAGAAUUUUAUUUUAUUAUAUUUCCGCUGCUAAAAAAGAUAUUUAAAAUUUAUAAAUUAACACUUUAAUUUAUUUCUUGAGGAUUUUUAAGUCAUGUGCAAAAACAGAAAAAAAAUAUAAAGGUGAUGUAUUUUGGGGCGGAUUUAGAAUUCAAGGAAAUGUGGUGUAUUUAGGGGCGGAUUUUAAAGGUGAUGUGCAAUUGUAGAAUUCAAGGAAAGGUGGUGUAUUUAGGGGAAAUUAACCCUAUAAAUAUUCAAAAUCAAACGGAUUGGCAUGUAUUCAUCAUUUUUUAUUUUUUAUUUUGAUAAUUUAACAGUAUUAAAUAAAGAAAUUUAUAGGCUGCGUCCCUUACUGCUUGGCUUUUAGAUUAUGUUGUAAUAAUAAAAUUAAAAGCACGUUUACAAUAUAAAAUUAAUUAUGAUAAAUACAAUAUAUUAAUAAUAAAUACUCAAUUACCUCUUAACAUAAUUCGCGCAUCAUGGCUUUUAGCUUAUAUUAUAAAGAUAUAAUAUGUUGUCUAUAAUAAUCGACGGAAGGUAAUAGACAACAUGUUUUACUUCUUGUCUAUAAUAAUAUAGACAGUAGAUCUAGUGUUAUAGAUAACAAUUAAUACGUGUUGUCUAUAUGAUGAUAGACACCAAAAAUCUCUGUUGUCUAUUCUAUGACAAAAAAAUUUAAAAAAAUUCUAAUAUAUUUACAUCCCUGUAUUACAAUACCAAUAUAUAUGAAAAAAUAAAAAUAAUUAAAAAUCAAAUAAUCAAACAAUACUUAUAAACCACUAAUACUCACAAUCAAAUAUUUACACAUCAACAAUUGUAUUAUCUUUAAUUACGCCUUCAUUUAUCUACUAAAAAAAAUCUCUAAUAAAAUCUCUAACUAACUCCGGUCAUCAUCUCUUGAAGGCUUAGAAAAUGUCCAAAUACAGCGGCACAUGCUCAUUAUUGUGUGAGCGAUGAGAACUUUGCGCUGAACCUAUAAAGUAACUAUACUUAACUGGUAAAGUAAUUGUAUCCCGUGAAUCUAAAGGAAGAAUAAACACGUUGAUAGAGUUUGAAAGAAAAGAAUAAAGAGAAUGAAAAUCCAAAGAAUUUGCUUCUUCCGUUGAACAAUCCCUACACAACGUUGAAAUAUCAAUGAAAACAAUGGCUAUCCUAUACUCCCUCCAUCCAUGAAAGAACUUCCUAGGAGGGAGUGACACGGGUUUUAAGAAAAAAUAUUGUUAAGUGUAUUGAGAGUGGAUAAAAGGUAGUUGAGUGUAUUGGGAGUGGUGAAAAUGUGUUAUAGUUAAUAUUGAGAGUUGUGAAAAGUGAAAAGUAAGAGGAUUAUAAGUGGUGGGGUAUAGUCCAAAAAUAGGUAGGAAGUUCUUUUGUGGACGUCCCAAAAAGGAAAGAUAUGAAGUUCUUUCGUGGACGGAGGGAGUAUUAUUUUGCAGCAGCAACCACGUUUAAAAACUCGAUCCCUCUAUUCUUGAAUUUGUGAAAUUUCCGACUGAUUUAUUAGAUUCACCAUUUAUUUCAGUUUAAUUAGUCUAUAUAUAGAUAUUUCUUAUAUUAUUAAAUUGUUAACCUCAUGGUAGAUUUCAAGAUUUGAAAAUUCAACAAAGAGCUUGAGAAUUAUAGAGAUUGGAAGGGGAAGAUGAAACAUAGUUGGGUGAAAUUAGAAACCAAUUAAAGUCAGGAGAUUGAAGAAAAACAUAACUUAAAAACACAAAAUAAGCAAAUCGUAGAUGCAGUAUCUUGCAAGAAAAAGUUCAUAUUCCCAAGGCUAUGAUGAGCACGAAUUAGGGUGUGUCUGCAUUUUAUCCCUCUAAAUGGAGGAAUAAUAAAAUUUUAUGCCUUUAAAUGUUUGCUUUCUUAUCACACAUUCUAAACAAACACCAUUUUUUCUUCCUUAUUUUCACUUCAAUGAGGGAUAAUAUUAUCCCUCCAAUUUUGGUGUGAUAAUAUUAUCCCUCCUACAAGUGAAAAUAAGGAAGAAAAAAUGGUACUCCCUUCGUCCCAAACGAAAUGUCCUGUUUUCCUUUUUGGGCUGUCCCAAACGAAAUGUCCUGUUUCCUUUUUUGGCAAUACACUCUCUCUCUAUACUUAAUAUUUAAAUAAUUUUCACCAACCCACUUUAUCUACUUUAUACACAUUUCUUAAUCUCCGUGCCGAAAAGAAAUGGGACAUUUCGUUUGGGACGGAGGGAGUAUUUGUGUAGGAUGUGGGAUAAGAAAACAAACAUUUAAAGACAUAAAUUUUUGUUAUUCCUCCAUUUAGAGGGAUAAAAAGCAAACACACCUUAGAGUCUAAUUACAAUUUAGGCGCAGGCUGUGUGAGAAUUACUUAGUCGAAUAGGAUCCUUAGUAUUUAUAUUUCUCAUGUUCUUGUGUAUUUUUUCACUGAUUCACUAUUGGAUUAACAAGAAUUAUCUUACUUUAAAAAAAAAAAAGAAAUGAUCUUACUUCAUGUAUGGUAUGCCAACUGUUCGAUAAAGGUCCUUUUAGAAAUAUUCCAUAGAUUACCUUGCAAAGACCACAAAACUAGACACACCCUGCAUAGUUUAUACAUAGGGAUGGCCGAUUGAUGAUCGUCUUAUUUGUAGACUUAACGAGAGCAGACUCGAUCGCUUAGUCCUUACUGAUUUACGACACACAUGCACACAUACACAGAUACACACAUCACAAAAUCACGCAAAUUGACGGAUAAUGUUGCCGGCCAGCUCCUUCCUGCUCCACGCCACGGCAUUUUUCUGCACCAUGGUGGCCGUGAAAUACCACGAGACGAUGUCAUGGGUGGCGACGUGUUGUCCGGUGGCGGCGGAUAGCCCGACCUGAACCUCCUGAGCAACAAAGUAGCUCAAAUCGUACUCAUAGCUGACAUCAAACGUCUGAUUGCCGGCGGUGACUUUGACGGAGAUCAUCCUUGUGGCUCCGACGUAGUUGAUCCGCGCAGUUACCUGCUGCUUGAGUAUGGAGCUGUCGACCGGCGUCGUCUUGCUGGAUACCCUAGAGCCGAAGUCGAUGCCGAUGUGGGGAUAGAGCGGAUCCCACGCGCCGUUGACGUAGGUGUCGAUUUCAACGGCGAAGACCCCGGGGCUGUUGCCGUUGGAGCCAAAGAUUCCGAGAUUGGCUCCGUCGGAGCCAGGGGGGAUGGUGGAGUCGACGGGGGCAAUGAAGAAGGCGAGGCCGUCGGCAGGCUCGUUGUCGGCGCCGGGGGUGAUGAUGAAGUUCACGGUGGUUUCGAAGUCGACCUGCCCAUUGGACAUCCAGAAUUGGACCGGUUCCGAGUACAUGACGCGGCCGACUUGGGACGGUUGUGCGUCUGUGAGGCGGAGGAAGGUGGAGUCCGUCGGGAAAUGGGCGUUGCCUUGAUAGAUGAGAUCUUUCGGCUGGUCGCCCCAGAAGUCGAAGGUGAACGACGUCGUUUGGGACAACGCCGUGUUGGAAACGGCGAGGAGGAGGGCGAUGGAGGCGAGGAGAGGAGUUAAGUUGGCCAUGGCUUAAUAGAUUUAGAUUUAGAGAUGUGGUGGAUGAUGGUGGUAUCGAUCUGUUGCACCUAUUUAUACUAGUAUGGUUCAUGCCUGAUAAUAAUUGUAUCAAUCAAUCAUCGUGCAUCUAUCCCAAAUUAUAUGUCUUAUUAUUCACUAAUUAGAUGGAAUAAAUCCUAAUUUGCAAUCUUAAAAUUAAACCGCCAAUGAGGCCUUGCUCUAGUAGCAAAGCUGUGGCACCCAAUAACUUUUCUUUGUGAAAGGUCUUGGGUUCAAUCUCGCCUGCAUGCGGUGAUGUUUGCCCACUUUAGGUGGUGUGGUAUUCUCGCCUGCGUGCGGUGUUAUAUUGUUUAGUGUUAAGGUCCCACAUGCAGGGCGUUCUUGCAUGUGUGCGUGUCACAACCCAAAACCAUUUAUUUUCUUUACAAAUUUUAUAUGAAAAUUAUUUGAUUUUUAAGUUAUAGAGUUUUCGAUAUAUAUACAUAUAGUGUCAAUUUUAUGUUAACUUAGUCGUGUCCCUAAUUAAAAGAAUGAAUUUGAAAUAAAAGUUAAGCCUUAAAAAUUUAAUCUACAUUCAUAUAUAACUGAAAUUACAUGCAUGUCUAAAUAUUAUUUAUAAUUAUCAAUAACGGGAUUAAUGAUUCUAUAUCUCUAUGUUUAUACAUAUAUUCACGUAUGACAUAGUAUAUAUUAGCUAUUAAGUUAAAUAAAAUACUACAGUUUUGCAUAGGAUAUAUAUUUAAUUAGUAGUAGGAUAGGACACGUGUAUUAAUUUUAAGGGCAAGUAAUCAAACUUUUGAAUGAUUCAUCAUGCUUAAAAAAAAGAGACCUAGAUAGAUGAUUCAUCAGAUUCAAAAACAAGUAUAAAUAGACUUCGAGUUUGAAAUUUUAAUUAAUUUGCAACAACCAUUCAAACUGACUGUAUUAAGGUAAGUAGUUACAGAUUUCAUACACAUUAUAUGAUUUCGCGCACAUACGUAUGUAUAUAUAAAUAUUUUUUAAAAUCAUAUAUUAUAUAAUAAUUAUAUUUAAGUUUUAUAUUAUUCUUUAUAAACUAUUGUUCCAUUCUAUAUAAUUAGGUGUGGCAUGACUAGGACGUAACUUUCGAUUGAAUUUCUCAAGUUAAUCUUCAAGUUCAAGUUUCAGGUGUGGGAUUUAUUUAAAUACAUGUCGUGGUUAUUUAUUAUCCAUUUUAAUAAUAUGUGUUUACCAUAUGUGUUAUGAUGCAUAUUUUGAGGAUAUCGCUAGGGGCCCAUAAAUAGGGUCCAGGACUUCACCGUCCUUGGAUUGCCACAAUGCAAUUUGAGGUUUAUUUUGAGGAUGUCGUCAGGGAUCCGUAAAUAGGGUCCAGGACUUUAAUAGUCCUUGGGUUGCCACAGUGCGAAUAUAUUGAGGAUAUAUAUGAAGUGACCGUAUGUGUUACCGUUUCAUUAACGUGGACAAUGAUUGCUUGUUCUCACACUGAGUGUACUCUGUAUGCUCAUCCCAUAUUUAACGUGGAAGGUCGAUUGACGAAUCAAAUAUUUUGUAUUUAGCUUUACCUAAAUAUGUUAUUUUGAGUAAAGUAUUUUAAAUAAAAAUUUAUUUCAUAAUUUUCUCAUUAAAUAUUUAUUUAUAUUCAUAGCUUUUCCGCACAAAUAUUUAUUUAAAUUUUAAUUAGAUUUGGGUGUCACUGUGCGGUGAUGUUUUUCCACCGUUUCGGUGGUGGUGAGGCCCCACCUGCGUGCACGUUAUAUACUUGAUUAUAUUCAGAUACCUCUUGUAAUUUUUAAAAAAAUAAUCAUAAAAUUAAACCAAAGCAUAUAAAAUUGAAAUUGGCCAAAAAAAUAUAUAAAAAUAAAUAAAAUUAAAAAUGGGAUAUAAAGUGAGACAUUAAAUGUGGUACACUACUGAAUCUCAAUCCAACACGUGGAUGCUACAUUGUACUUGUCGGAAUAUUAGAACUUCUACAAAAUAUUGCUAUUGGAAACGUGAAAUUUUAUUAUGAGAAAACUUAUACCUGACCCCACAGUCGUGGGCACGUGUUAUGUUGCGCGGAAAUUAAAGUGGUGGGGACCGUAAAUGGUAUUUUAGUCUUUUAAUUUAUUUUAGUAUACAAAAGAGUUAAUUUUAAAGAGGCGCUAAAAAACACAUCACUUUUAAAAAUUGGUAUUUAAAAUCUUGAACCCCUUUUAUUAUUUUAGAAAGAUAUUAAUUAAUUGAUAAAUUAAUAAAUUAUUAAUUGAAACAAUUAUUUUAAGCAAAUUUAAUUAUAAUUACCUAAAAAUUUAAAAAACAUAAAUUCAAUACCAUUCAAAUUCAACAAACUAACUUAAAUUUUUACUUUAAAAAAUCUUCAUCAAUCUUGCAAUCUCGGCUUGGACUAUAAAUGUUCAACAAGAGACAAUAACCAAUUUUUCAGACAUUUGUGAACAAAAUGAAGCAUGUUUAGAGAUCCUUAAUAAAGGUGUACGAAAUGAUGGAUAAAUAAGUUUGUGAAAAUUUCACCAUACCUAACCCCACAAUUAUUUGCGAUCGAAUAUCCUCGUCACAGGAAAAAGAGAUGAUGACAAAAGGGAAAAAAAAAUUAACAAAGUAGAAGAUGCAUGACAACUGUCAAGAUAAAUAAUGUUACUAAUUAAAUAAUCCAAACUUUAUACGUUUCAUAUCAUAAGUGGCAGUUCUAUAUUUUUUGCGAAAGUGAACAAAAUAACGAAUAAUUUUUAAAGUAAUAGUAAAAGGAGAUGUGUUUUGACAGAAAACGACAUGAGCGGCCUAAAAAUAAGAGGGAAAAAGAUAAUCAUAUAAAUAUUCAAAAUCAAACGGAUUGGCAUGUAUUCAUCAUUUUUUAUUUUAAUAAUUUAACAGUAUUAAAUCAAGAAAUUUAAAGACCGCGCCCCUUACUGCUUGGCUUUAAGAUUAUGUUACAAUAAUAAAAUUAACAGCACGUUUACAAUAUAAAAUUAAUUAUGAUAAAUGCAAUAUAUUAAUAAUAAAUACUCAAUUACCUCUUAACAUAAUUCGCGCAUCAUGGCUUUUAGCUUAUGUUAUAAAGAUGGAGUAUAAAAUAAUCAUCACCUGUGCAUGAUAUUUCACAAAAUAAUUAAAUAAUAAAAUAAUCAAUCAUAAUGCCAAGACGUGACUCUUGUCGGUCAUAUCUCAUCAACUUUAUCUAUAUAGUACAAUGAUGAUUAAUUUGAGAACGACGAUUAAGACACCAACUAUUCUUGUGGGGACACAUGCAUAUAUAGAAUUAAUAUUAUAAACUCUCUCGGUCCACGAAAUAACUUACUAUUUUUUCUUUUAAGAACGUGAACAAAAAAAAUUCCCAUCGAUAUUUCGGAACUAUACCCCACUACUUUAAAAUACCUCAUUUUACCCUUUCUUUUUCACAAAAACAACAAAUUACUAAUAAUUUUUCACUAUUCCUAAUAUACUGAACAAUUUUUCUCCACUCUCAAAUUUUGUAGCACCGAAUAAAAUUAAAUACUAGUAUUAUUUUUUGUAGAACUAUAAAUAAAUAUUAUUCUCAAAACAUGUACUAUUACUUACUAUUUUUUUUAAAUGUGGGACGACCAAAAAAGGAAAGAUGAAUUCUAAAAGCUGGGACAGAGGAUAUAUUAUUUUUCUUCUUGGUUCUGAAGUAUGAAUAUUAAUUAACAAUUCUUCGUCCACAUCAAGCUCACCUUCACGUAAUUUUUUCUUGAACAACACCGAAAAAUAUAUAAUCCCAACAUAGCAUGAUCAAUCUCAAUGCACCAAACAUAAAUUAGUUUUAAAAUAAUAAUAAGAUUAACUACUAUAUUGCUGAAUUAUGCAGUAGAAUUAAAAGCGUGAUUUUUUUUUAAUAGAGCAGGUUAAUCUAGGCCUACCUGAACCAUCUGACUAUGCAUGAGUUUGAUUUUUCUUCUUGAUCUUUUUUAAUUUUACCGACAAAGAAGAUUUUCACAAAUGAAAAGAAAACGUUCUAGUAACAUACUACAUGCUUACUUCAGAUUUGCAACCAAGUCUAUUGAGGGUUUUAUUUGCUACAUAUAUAAACACAAGGAUUUGGUUUGAUACAAAUUAAGAAUAUUCAACUUUCAUCGGCUCAAGCACAUAGAAUCUCCCCGAGUAGUUAUAACUGGUCAAUGUUUUUGCCGAUAAAAAGGAAAAGGAAAGAAAAAAGAAAGAAGCAAGACGGAGAAAAAGUUGUAGUAAAUGAUUAUGCGAUGAAAAGAAAAUGGAAAAGAGAAAGAAAGAAGAAAGUUGUAGGAAUUUUGAAGAAUUUGUACUUAUUUAGAAUUGUGGUUAUUGUGGGAUCUUGUAUAAUAAUAAUAAUAAUAAUAAUAAUAAUAAUAAUAAUUAUUGGGCCGUUCCACGAAUCUUGGCACAUUUUCAAAUAAGGUAAUAAUUCAUUCUCUCUCUUACUUUAUCACUUUAAUACUUUAUUAACUACAAACUUAAAACACUAAUAUACAAUUCCUUAAUUCCCGUGUCGAAACCAAACGUGUCAAGAUUCGUUGGAUGGAGGGAGUAAUAAUAAUAAUAAUAAUAAUAGUAAUAAUAAUAAUAAUAAUAAUAAUAAUACAUCAUUGCCCUUUAAAAAGUUUUAAAAUAGGAACAUAAUAUGUAAAUCUAAUUUUGUAAAAGAAGCUCUUCUAUAGUAAUAGUUAUAGAUUUGGUGUGGAGGCAUUUGUUUGAGAAUGGGUAAAACAUACCAUUAACCCUUUGAUAUAUGCACGAGACACUUAUUUGUGGAUAGGACAAGAAUUAUUUUGUUGCAUAGGAUCCCUUCCAAAUGUAAUUACUGAUUCACAAUUGGAUUAACAAGAAUUAACUUACUUCAUAUUCAGUAUUCCAACUGUUCGAUAAAAGUUCUUAAUGAAAUCUUCCAUAGAUUACCCAAAUGCAUUGUUUUGCAUAGUCCGUACAUUGAGAUGGUCGAGUAUCUUAUGUCUAGACUUAACGAGAGCAGACUCGAUCGCUUAGUCCUUAUUUAUUUACGACACACACACAUCUCAAAAUCACACAAAUUGACGAAUAAUGUUGCCAGCCAGCUCCUUCCUGUUCCACGCGCCAGCAUUUGUCUUCACCAUGGUGGCUGUGAAAUACCAUGAGAUAAUAUCAUGUUUGGCGACGUAUGGUUGGUUUAGUCCGCUGGCGGCGGAGAGCCCUACCUGAACCUGCUCAGGAAGAAACUCGCCCAAAUUGUACACAUGGCUGACCUCAAACGUCUUCGAGCCGGCGGUGGCACUGACGGUGAUCAUCUUCGUGGCUCCGACGUAGUUGAUCCGCGCAGUCACCUGCUGUCCGACUAUGGCGUCUCCGACAUUCGUCGUGUUGCUGGAUUCCCUAGAUCCGAGGUCGAUGCCGAUGUGGGGAUAGUUCGGAUCCCACGGGCUGUUGAUGAAGGUGUCGAACUCGACGGCGAAGACCGAGGGGCUAUUGCCGUUGGAGCCGAAAAUUCCGAGGUUGGCCCCAACAGCGCCACUGGGGAUGGUGGAGCCGACGGGGGCAAUGAAGAAAGCGAGGCCGUCAGCGGUUUUGCCAUCGGGGCUGGGUGUGAUGAUGAAGUUAAUGGUGGUUUCAAAGUCGACUUGGCCACCGGAUUGGGAGAACUGGACCGGCUUCGAGUACAAGACCCGGCCGACCUGGUAUGUCUCGAAGUCGGUGAGGCGGAGGAAGGUGGAGUCCGAUGGGAAAUGGGCGUGGCCUUGGUAGGUGAGAUCGGUCGGCUGGUCGCCCCAGAAGUCGUAGGUGAAGGACGUUGUUUGGGACCACACCGUGUUGGCAGCGGCGGCAAGGAGAAGGGCGAUGGAGAUUAGGGUUUGUUGAAGGUUGGCCAUCGCUUAAUUGAUUUGGAUGUGGUGGAUGAUGGUGGUAUCUUUAUCUUGCUUCUAUUUAUAGUAGUAUAACGAGCCCUAGUUAAUUAUCUUUAAAUCAUACUAAAAUAUCAUAAAUUAAAAUUGAAGAAAAAAAAGUUAAAACCUACUCUCGCAGUCCCUCAAAUAACUUCUUAGGAGAAGAGGGGUAGGAGUUUUAAGACGAAGUUAAUGUGCAAAGUAAGGAUAAA
rnacentral:lncRNA from 1 species